UGACUUGAUAACAUCUCCCUCUCUCUCAAUUCAAUUUCAGUUUUUCUGUUUUCUGUUUCUCGUUUGAGAUGUCAGAUCUAGAGGAUGCGCUUAAAGCGUUGCGACGGAAGGUGCAUGAGGGUGAAGAGGCUCUUCAGAGAGCUGGACAGUAUGGACUUCAACUCUUGGAUGACAAAAUGGAGCUACACAACAAAUUGGAACAGCAGCGAAUUGAGAUGUCCAAUGUCAUUGAGGCCGUGGAGCAAGAUAAAUACUCUCUGCAAAGGGAAGUUGAGUUAAAGGUUCGCAUCCUGGAGAGUCUUCGUUCAGAAUUUGACAGUCAAAAACCAGCAGAAACACCAGCUGUGGUAGCAGCAAUCUCUGUUGGAGAGGAGUCAUAAUCUUGAGAUCAGUGACUUAAAGAAUAAGGUGGAGAAAAUGAAGGCAGAAUUAGAGGAAGCACAACUGGCUGAGAAGCAGAUGAGACACAAGCUGGACCAGCAAUCUGAAGCACUGAGCAGCAAAACCGAGGAGCUCCGCAUCCUUACAGAGCGUGCACAUGAAACCAUGUCCUCCGAGAUCCUGGAGUUGCAAGUGCAGAAGAUGAACAUGGAAUCAGCUAUGAAGGUGUUCAAAUGUGCCAGACCUAUGAGGUAGUGGGCAAUUUGAAGGUUCUGAAGUGUGGGACCUUGACUUUCAGUGGACUUUGGAGCAGGAGCUUCAGGAGGCACGAUACAAAGAUGAGCAGCUGUAUUUGGUCAACACUACCCUCCAGCUGCAACUGGAGAGACUCACAGAGGAGAAGGGAGAGAGAGUAAGAGGCCGUGUCCUGCUAUAAUGCUUUGGAGGAGCUAAUAUAACAGGCAGGUGACCUUAUACCAGAUUCCUCACCAGGAACGUUUGCGACAAUAUGCUGAAGUGUCCCUUCUGCCCAUGUUGGAAGUGCAGGGGUGGUGCAGCCUUGUGCCUGAGCUUUUAGCUUCUACGGAGCAUGAUUGGAGGGAGAAGGCUUUACGAACUCUGCUUGCCAUGAUGGCUCAGUGUCAGACUCAGUAUAAACAGAACCCCACCCUGACCACUUCUCUUAAUGAACUGCAGAAACAGUAAAGAACUGGCUCACACAGAGCAGGAUGUAGGGGAGGAGGAUGGUUACUUCCUAACCCUUGCAGUAUCUAUGGUAGUUAAAAUGCAAUAAUAUGUGUAGAAUGGACUGUUCCUUUUUUUGGAAUAUCAAGAACAAAUAAAAUUAUUGACAUUUUUAAUACUGGAUUUGUCUGGUUGCUCCAUUUAGGAAUGUGCAAUGUAAUACAAAAGCUUCACCAUGCUUUGAAUACUCCAAAGUGGCCUAAAGUUAUGUACUGAAUGUACCAAAGGUCAAAUGUUCAAAGGAAACCAUUCAGAAUAAUGUUUUAUAAGAGUCUGCUUUGCUAGUCUUCGCUGGCU